UGCUUUUCAGAAUCACUGUGGAAUUGCGUUUCAACAAAUUUUUUCAAAAUCAUUUCAUCAUCACCAACUUCCAUGUUGCUGAAACUCCAGUAGAUUAUUAGUGUUCUCUUUUCCAUAUGGUAGCUUUCUAUCAUAACUAUCUUAGUGAUCAUUCCUAGACAUGUCAUACCAUUCUAUGAUGAGUGUUCAUCUCGUUAUCCAUCUCACUGUUAGAGGGUGUGUACUGUUCUUGAGGGUUCCAAACCGAAACCAUAUGAAAACAUUGAUAUUAUACCGAAUUGAACUUAUUUUACUGUUUUUGUUUGGUUGUGGUUUGUGACCAGGAAUCAAACCGAAACUAUUCUUGAACCAUACUAGAAUUGAAACGAUAGCCAAUUUUAUACAUAUGUUUUUUUAUAAUUUGUUAGGUAUAUUAUAUACUUUUGUAUGUAAUUAUAUAUAUAUUGUUUUUUUAAAGGGUUUUUUUAAUUAUAUAUAUAAAAAAAUUCUAGAUGAAGAAAGAGAAGGGGGUUGUUUUUGCUAGAGAUUCCUUGUGGUUGCUUGUGGAAGUUUGCUUGGAAAGAAAGUGACUGGGUUAGGUUAUUGAAGAGAGAAGUGGAAAAAAAUGAAAGUGAAAGCCCCACAUAACUGUCCAUAGGCCGAUAUCUUUCUCACACUUUUACAUUAAUCAAAGUUCUUUUUUUUUUAAAUUCUCUUUAUUUUUUAUAGUUAUAAUAAAUUUAAAAAAAACUGUCCUAACUAAUUUUUUAAAAAAUAAGGAUGAGAUAAGUUAAUAUAGUUAGUUGUGUGGAUGUUAUUUUAUUUGCUAUUUGUACAAAAGCAUUGAGUUUAGUUGAUUAUAAAAGGUUCAAAAGGACCAUGCUUAUUGAAUACUCAAGUCUUAAUGUGACUAUGGCUGAUUGGCAGUCACAAAGAAGCUUUCCUGAAAGCAAUUUUAACAUAAAAGGAAAUGUUUCAUAUGCAUUUUGGGUGAAUUGACUGCACCAUUCCAUGUGUUUGUCUUGUAAAAGAGGCAACAUUUUGCUUGCACCUGUCCCUAUACAGUCCACUCAUGUGCAAAUACAGCAUACAUACACGUUGCUUGCAAGUUAAACACUUUAAAAAGAUAAUUUUCUUUUUGGUCAUUUUCUACUUAGGACAAUAAGCACAAGUUGCAAGCAAUUAAUUUUUCAAAAUAC
rnacentral:lncRNA from 1 species